rnacentral:rRNA from 1 species
UACGUAGGGGGCAAGCGUUGUCCGGAUUUAUUGGGCGUAAAGAGCGUGUAGGCGGCCAGACAGGUCCGUUGUGAAAACUCGAGGCUCAACCUCGAGACGUCGAUGGAAACCGUCUGGCUAGAGUCCGGAAGAGGAGAGUGGAAUUCCUGGUGUAGCGGUGAAAUGCGCAGAUAUCAGGAAGGAACACCCAGUGGCGAAGGCG